GAUGAAGAACGCAGCGAAAUGCGAUAAGUAAUGUGAAUUGCAGAAUUCAGUGAAUCAUCGAAUCUUUGAACGCACAUUGCGCCCGCCAGUAUUCUGGCGGGCAUGCCUGUUCGAGCGUCAUUUCAACCAUCAAGCCCCGGGCUUGUGUUGGGGACCUGCGGCUGCCGCAGGCCCUGAAAACCAGUGGCGGGCUCGCUAGUCACUCCGAGCGUAGUAGUUACAUCUCGCUCAGGGCGUGCUGCGGGUUCCGGCCGUUAAAAGCCUUAUUUACCCAAGGUUGACCUCGGAUCAGGUAGGAAGACCCGCUGAACUUAAGCAUAUCAAUAAGCGGAGGA
rnacentral:misc_RNA from 1 species